AAGUCGUAACAAGGUUUCCGUAGGUGAACCUGCGGAAGGAUCAUUACCAAUAUUCAAAUUACCCAAACCCAUGUGAACGAUGGAACUGUCUUGGUUCUUGGGGUGGGCUUUCACAAGUUCACCCCGGCCAAUUUUGCUUAAACUACUUUUUAAUUGUCAUGGAAUUAUUACUUGUCUAAUAAAAAUUAUGACAACUUUUAACGGUGGAUCUCUUGGCUCGUGGAUCGAU
rnacentral:misc_RNA from 1 species